GGGCAUGUGGUCUAGUGGUAUGACGGCUUCUUAGCACCCCAGCAAUGGCAUUGACUGGAGCAGGUCCUGGGUUCAAUUCCCAGCUUGUCCA